AUGCAGAGGCCGGUGAGCACCCCGUCGUUCCCCGUCUUCGCGGACGAGGAGGGGGCGGAGGACCUGGAGGCCAAGCCGGAGAAGGCGCCCGCCGUCCGGCCGUCGGCGGCCACGGAGCGGUCCGUCCACCUCGUGCCGCUCGUCGUCGUGCUCUGCUUCCUCGUCCUCUUCCUCUGCUCCCACGUCCCCUCCCCUUCUGAUAUGUCGAGCUUCGGAGGGAAGGCCGGGGGCCGGAAGCCCAAGCUGCUCUGA
rnacentral:rRNA from 1 species